rnacentral:rRNA from 1 species
GAUGAACGCUGGCGGCGUGCCUAAUACAUGCAAGUCGAGCGAACAGAUAAGGAGCUUGCUCCUUUGACGUUAGCGGCGGACGGGUGAGUAACACGUGGGUAACCUACCUAUAAGACUGGGAUAACUUCGGGAAACCGGAGCUAAUACCGGAUAACAUUUGGAACCGCAUGGUUCUAAAGUGAAAGAUGGUUUUGCUAUCACUUAUAGAUGGACCCGCGCCGUAUUAGCUAGUUGGUAAGGUAACGGCUUACCAAGGCAACGAUACGUAGCCGACCUGAGAGGGUGAUCGGCCACACUGGAACUGAGACACGGUCCAGACUCCUACGGGAGGCAGCAGUAGGGAAUCUUCCGCAAUGGGCGAAAGCCUGACGGAGCAACGCCGCGUGAGUGAUGAAGGGUUUCGGCUCGUAAAACUCUGUUAUUAGGGAAGAACAAACGUGUAAGUAACUGUGCACGUCUUGACGGUACCUAAUCAGAAAGCCACGGCUAACUACGU